AUGCAUGGCCUUCCCUCUUCCGUGUGCACACGACCAAACCAGCGCACCUCUGGCCUCCGCGCGAUUCGCCGCCACUCUCUCUGGGCCGCCACUACCUCCGACCGCCACACGAUUCGCUACUACUCCCCCUAUCCGCGCGAUUCUCCGAUGCUCCCUCCUCUCUCCGAUCGUGAACUCCUUGCUUCGGUCAAAUUUUCUAGCAUCAAUUCAAUAAUCCUUUCUUGA